rnacentral:lncRNA from 1 species
AGGCCGGGGGAGGGAGGAGGACGGGAGGCACCCCCGGUCCAGCAGGCAGCGGGCGGUCCCCCGGGCCCACCCAGCACUCCAAGGCCAGCCAGCUUGGCUCCAGCAGGGCGGGCCCCACAUCCGCCUGCCCCACCUGCAAGCGUCAGGGACCCCGACCCCGCGGCUCCUCCGGCCGCUCUUGAGAAAGGCAGAGGGCCUGGGGCAGCCAGCCUGGCCAAGCCUCGGUCCCCAGAGCAGGUGUUGACCCCGGUUCUCACCAGGCUGCCCCUGAGGACUCAGGACAGCAAGCGGAUCAGACAAGGCCCUGCCCUCACGGAGCGCGGGGAAGAGGCCAAGGACACCAGAAAGCUCAGGCGUCAGGCCAAGGGAGGCCCGUCUCGGCAGGGUCCUCUCUGAGAACAAGAGCGGACCGCUCUCUUAGCGGGCUGGGGGCGAGCCCACAGGGUGAGAACCACCAGUGUGUGGGAGCGGGAAAGGUAUCCGAGCUGAGGGAAUGGCAGAUGCAAAGGCCCUGGAGCAGAAGAACCACGGUGUCUCGCUGCAGUCUCUCUCACCUCAAGCAGGGCCUGUCAGCUCUCACCCGAUAACCUGUCUGAGUCACUCCAUGACUGUCAUUCUGUCUCCUCUUUGCAAGUCGGCCUCGGCACCUCACGGCCCGUGGACAAACCUGGAAGCCCUUGCCUGGCCGUCGUUGGAGCCACGUGGCCCCAGGAGCGCCCGGGCUCAGCCCAGCCAAGACGUCCCCGAGCCUGGCUCAAGCUGCACACCGCCCACCUCCGCGUCCCCACACUCCCCCCCACCCCACCCCCGAGGGUGUCUUGCCCUGAGACCUGGGUGGGACCUCUCGUGUUCAGUGUCCAGAACUGGGCCUGGCUCACUGGGGAGAGAGCAAGGCGAACGCACGCAGACACACAGGCCUGACAAAGGCUCACAGCUGUUGACAGAAAGAGCCCGGGACACACCUAGAGGCGGCAGGAGAGACUUCACGCAGGCCCCUGCAGUGGGGAGAGACCCCACAAGGACUCCAGGGUUUAAAGGGAGAGCAGGAGUCUCCCGGUGGCUCAGCCAGUUAAGCAUCUGAGGCUGUCACUGCUGUGGCACAGUUUCGAUCCCUGGCUCAGAACUUCUUCAUGCCUCGAGUGCGGCCAAACAAUAAAUAAAUAAAGGGAUGACGUUUUCGUUGUG